AGGGUAUAAAGCUUACUUAAAGCAACUAACUGUUAAUUAGGAGACCACGAACCAUAAUCGUUUACUCUA
rnacentral:tRNA from 1 species